rnacentral:lncRNA from 1 species
AUGGGAGGUAUCAAACAACAUAAACACAUCCUAUAUUAUUACAUUCAUUCAUAUUCAUGCAUUUUACACCUCAACUACCAUUCCUUUUUCAUCCAAAUGCAAUCUAAAUUAUUACAACAUUUAUAUCUUUAAUACAUCAUGUUACAUUGUGUUCUUUUCAUUUCUUUAACCCCUAAGCUAUGUCGACGGGGUACUGCUAGCUCUGGUCUCUGGGGUAGGGCGCUAUCUACGG